rnacentral:rRNA from 1 species
GACGAACGCUGGCGGCGUGCCUAAUACAUGCAAGUUGAGCGCUGAAGGUUGGUACUUGUACCGACUGGAUGGGCAGCGAACGGGUGAGUAACGCGUGGGGAAUCUGCCUUUGAGCGGGGGACAACAUUUGGAAACGAAUGCUAAUACCGCAUAAAAACUUUAAACACAAGUUUUAAGUUUGAAAGAUGCAAUUGCAUCACUCAAAGAUGAUCCCGCGUUGUAUUAGCUAGUUGGUG